CAGGACUCAGCAGAGCCUGGGCUCUCGCUCUUUACACCUACCCUGCUCCAUCCAUUGCCUUGACUUGCCAGUUGCUUUCCCCACCCCCAAGGCAAAGAAACAAGAAGCAGGAGAGUGCAAGAGGCUCAGGAUCUGAUCUUGUCAACAGCAGGAGAAAACCCUAGCCUGGCUUCACUCAGAAGAUGUCAUCUUGGAUUAAAAGGGAGAGAGAGAGCCACAACUUAGAUUUAUAGAGUAUGGAGCCUGAAGGAGCCCAGGUCUCUGAGACACAGUGGAACAAAGCCACUAUACUACCUCAGGACUCUGUACAGCCCAGCUUUAUAUAGAGAAAUCUUUUAAAAGAAGAAUUUGAAGAAAAAGGAAUGCAAGGAGAAGCUGAAGAGGAGGUGGAAGGAAAAGAAAUAGCAGCAGAAGAGGGAGAAGAGGAAGAAAUGUCUAUGUCUAUAGAAGGGAGAGUCACACGAUUUGAAGGCUGACAUUUGGAAUGCAAACCUGACGAAAAUGUCUACCUCACUUACCUGCCUGAUUGGAAAUUCAAGUAUCAGUGAUACACUUUUUUUUUUUUUUUGAGAUAAACUAAGAGUCCAUGCAUACCUAGUUAAGAUGCAAAUAAACCUAGGAAGUGAAAUACCAAACCUUCAAUUCUUACUACAUUUUCAUUUAUCAAACACAAGCAAAUUGGUCAACUCAGCAGGCCCUAGAAAGACAGACACAGGUGUGGACAGGCAGGAUGGGAAAGAGAUGGGAAAGAUACGGGAAACAGAAGCCUCGGGCCACCUAUGCAUUAGUGUGAUGACCUUGGAGACCUAGAGGAAGGGUCACCUGAAGCAAAGAGGAUGCUGACAAGACGACAGAGAUUGACAAACCUCAACUCUUCCCACUGUC